rnacentral:rRNA from 1 species
UACGUAGGGACCAAGCGUUGUCCGGAAUCAUUGGGCGUAAAGCGCGCGUAGGUGGCUUCGUAAGUCCGUUGUGAAAGUCAAAGGCUCAACCUUUGAACGCCGAUGGAUACUGCGAAGCUAGAGUACGGAAGAGGCGAGUGGAAUUCCUGGUGUAGCGGUGGAAUGCGCAGAUAUGAGGAGGAACACCAAUAGCGAAGGCAGCUCGCUGGGACGUGACUGACGCUGAGACGCGAAAGCGUGGGGAGCAAACAGG